AUUCCAAUUUCAAUUCCAAUCCAUUUCAAUUUUCAUUCUGAUUCUAAUUCUGGUUGCUAACCAAACACCCGGAGUUUCUAUAGUAAAAUGACAUAGAUAUUUGCUGCUAGUCCGUUAUUCCAUGGCAUAGUGUGGACCUUCUGAAGUCUCCAUAAAAUGGACUAGCCUGAAAUCAUCAUUGAGCUGUCAAUUUUUUGCAUUCCUCUUUAUCUUGGAUACUGGUCUUGGGCUUUCAAUAACUGAAUCUGGUCAUCAUGAUAAAGCUAUGAUGGU
rnacentral:lncRNA from 1 species